CAAUUUUGCAUCGCUGGUAGGAAAGCAAAAUAACAUUUAUCAACUCUCAAAUGUUCAUUAAAAUAUAAGGUAGUGGACUUAUUUAUCUUAUCAUGCUGUCAUUUUUAAAGCAUUGCUAGUCCUACAAAUACAGAUUGUUUAGCCAAAAGUGAGCAGCACACCUGCUAGAAUUAGAUAAUUAAUGAAAGCUAAUAAUUGAACAAAUGAAAGAUUUUCAAUAUUUUUUCGACCAUUGAAGGGGAGGACAAGACAGAAAGACAUUGAAACCAAGCUCUAAUGAUGCCAUCCUGCCACCUACUGGACUAGAGGGUAUUAAAACAACUACAGCAUCCCUGACCUGCUCCUAACUAAAUGGAAGACGUGGAAGAAGAAGGAAACAACAAGCUUCAUUAACCCUAACCCAAACCUAACCUAUCUCAUAACCCUGGAGGGUUGCUCUGGCACCACAGACGGUCUGUUGACCAGCCCUCUCCAUCCUUCUCUGUCCUCAGCAGCUCUCAUUGCCUCAGUGAGUUUCAAGAUGGUUUUUGCAAGUCCUGAGGAUCUGGUGAUGUGCCCAUACCACACCAGUUCCCGCUUUAUGACCAUGGUGAGCAGGUCAUCAUGUGGGCCGACGGCUUGGCUGACCUUUAGCCGGACUUCUUCGUUUGUGACAUGUUGGGUGUAGGAGAUACCCAUGAGUCUUCUGUAGCAUCUCAUCUCCAUGCUCUGAAUUCUCUUCUGCAGCUCUGUGUAAUGGUCCAUGUUUCACAGGCGUAAAGGAAGAUCGACAUUACAAGUGAGCGCUGUAAUCUCACCUUUGAUGCCAGACUGAUGUUUGUGUCUUUCCACAUGGGCUUGAGUUUUUCCAGGGCAGCAGUUGUUUGAGCACUUCUGGUAAGGACUUCCCAUUUGGAUCUUUCAUCAGACACGAUUGUUCCGAGGUACUUGAAGCUCGACACCGUGUCCAGUGCCUGACCAUUGACUUUGAUGUCUGAGUGGAUGCUAUUAUUGUUGUUGGUCAUUGUUUUGAUUUUUUUCAGCAUGGAUUUCCAUUCCAUAGGCUUGGGAAUUGGUAACAAGCCUUUCAACUAGACUGGCAAGUUCUCUUUCUUCUCCAGCUAGCCCAUCGAUUUCAUCUUCAAAACAGAGGUUGGUGAUUGGUCUGCCUCCAACGCUGACAGUUCCUUCAUGAUCUGCCAGAGCAUCUGUCAUGAUACGCUCCCGAAAGAUGUUGAAGAGAAUUUGAGAGAGAAAGCAUCCUUGGCGCACUCCAAUUGUUGUCCUGAACCAGUCUCUGAUAGCUAGCUCCCUUGUAGAGAACUGCGCUGGUAGCUUUAUUGUACAGAUAUUGAAUGACUCUGACAAAGUUAGGACUGAUGUUAUAUUUCCUAAUGCUU